rnacentral:rRNA from 1 species
CAUGAAGCUGGAAUCGCUAGUAAUCGCGGAUCAGAAUGCCGCGGUGAAUACGUUCCCGGGUCUUGUACACACCGCCCGUCCACACCAUGGGAGUCGGAAAUGCCCGAAGUCUGUGACCCAACCUUAGGGAGGGAGCAGCCGAAGGCAGGCCGGAUGACUGGAGUGAAGUCGUAACAAGGUACC